AAAAAUAUAUUAUUUUAUAUAAGGAAAAGGUGCUUUAAAAUCUUGUAAUCAUAGUAUUCAAAAUGUAAAUGAAAUUUUUGUGAAGAAAAUUAUGUUUAUGGGUAUUACGAUGAAGAAGAUCUAUGUUUGCCAAAUAAAAUUAUCUCAAAAUUUUUCCCAAGAUUCGCGAUUUUGACAUGGCAAAAAAACCCUCCACAGUGACAACAAACACACGGAUAAUACAAAUCAUCCUGAUCUCCUAAAUUUUGCUGAUUCAGGAGCAAACUACGAUGCCGAGUCACCUCUCGGUAAGAAAGUAAUGCUACCCAAGUCAUCCGAUAUUAAGUUGGAGGAAGCAACUCGAAAGGACAUACCUGGAUCUUCCAAGAACACUUCCGAAAAAAAGG